rnacentral:lncRNA from 1 species
CUGCCAUAUUUAAGGCCUGUGAUAGUCCUCAGGCUCUGACUGCAGGGGUCCUGGCUCCUAGGGAGAUGCCCUCUGGCUUGGAGGGACAGCUGUGACCCUGUCCCCCUGCCUGGGCAGGAGCUGAGGCCUUAUGAGACUUAAGGGAGGCUGGGCUGUAGCCUUGAUCCUGGGCUCGGGUCAGGCCCUAAAUCCUGGGCUGCUUGGGGGCAGAGGUGGACGCAGCUGAAGGGGGUCUGGUGGGUCUCAGCAGCCCCAGGAAUGCCCCGGCCUUGGCAGUCCCACAGCAGCCUGUGACGUGCUGGUCACGUCUGCUGGUCCCACACCUCAGGGACACCCCACAGGCCCCCCUGGGUGAGCUGGCCCAUCUGCACCUCUCCAUGGACAGGCCCUUAACUGUCCUCUGACCGAGGCCCUGACUAGAGAGACCCAGACAGUCAGGCCUCCCAGGCCACGUGGCGGAUGACCCCAGCCAGUGCCGGAAGGCGCCCAGACGCAUAGAUCCGCUGUGUCCAGGAGGCUCCGACACAGCAGCAAACAGUCCAUCAUGAGGCUCCCAGCCAGAGCUCGGGCUCCCUCAGGCCAGUCUCUGAGUCCCUCCCCUGAGCUGGAGCCCAGCACGAGACCUAAAGCCCAGCACCCCGGGGGCCCCGUUUGCCCCUGCCCUGCUGGCUGUGGGGCAAGGACAUCUCCUCCUGUCUCUGGGCCCAGAUCCUGCUCUGACCAGGCUGAGAUGGCAGAUGGGGAUCUCGAGGCCCCGCAGGCCCACGGCCCGUCCUGCUUCAGCCUCGGCAGGAGUGCAAGCAGGUCGCCUUGAGCCUGCUGGAGACCAGGGGUCCUUUCUCUCUGAGCCCUGAGCUGGGUGCCACGGCCACCAUGAGCUGGCAGGCAGGGGACACGUGGAACAGGGAAGCGGCGGGUUUGCCCAGUGGGAUGACCACGGAAGGAGCCGAAUGCCGCAGGAAAAGACCGACGGGGGACAGGCCUCCUGAGGAGCUCUGGGCAGCUUCCAGAGACUGACCAGCGCACGCGAAGGCCCUGGGUGUGGUGGAGCUACUGGCUGCGAGGAGAGUGCCGAGCGGUCGACGGAGUUCGCAGCAGAUUGCUCUUCCAAAAGACGUGCCGUCAGGGUAGCCCUGCCCUCGAGGGCCUCCAACCUCUUUCUGGGCAGCCCUCCUGAGGGCCACCUCCACCUCCGAGCAGACACCCUGGGCCAGGCAGACAGACCCCUGCUUUGGUCUGACCUCUGACUCCAUGACCAUCGAUAACUGUAACAAUGACCACAGCCCAGGGGCAUCUGGGGGCAGCUCCCCCAGAGGGGUGGACGGGUUUGGCAUGUGUCCCCUGGAAGGAGAACUGGGCGGGGGAGUGGGGGUCCUCACCCUCGCUGCUCCCAUCUCUGCCUCCCGUCCAAGCACAUCACAAGACCAACGUGUCAGAGGGGCUGUGCUGGGACCCGUCAGCGGGAGGCGUCCCCCGCGACCUGGGGAGGAAGUGAGAGCCGGCUUCGCGUGAAGGGUGUCCACCUCCAGCCUCCAGGACCACUUCCCCCACGAAGCUGGCCUGACUGCCUGUCCUGCACCCUCUCUCCCUAGGCUCCCCUGCACAGGGCUUUCAGGCUGGGGUUGCCUUGCCCUCAAGGAGCAGGGCCCAGUCUCCCUGGCACAGAGGAGAGCCUCUUGAACUCCGCAGAGACCGGCCUUCCUCAGGGUAGGGCCACUGGACAGCGGGGGAAUGCCCAGGGGUGGCGGGAUCAGGUUGAGAGCUGGGGGCUGGUCAGUGGGUUGGCCCGCGUGGUGACAGCAGGCAGGUGGGGUGUGGCUGGAGGGGGUCCCUGGGCUCUCUUGGUCCCUGGUGAGUGGUGCUCUCUCCAUUUCCUGGGGCCACACCCUUCAGCUAUGACCUUCUGUCUCACCUUGGGCCCAGAGCUGUGGAGCCGGCUGAAGGCGAACUGAACCUCCGAGGCCAUGAG